GGAGAGGCGUCAGCGCCAAGCGUGUGAGGAGAGAGUGGUUUCGCUGCUGGCUCGCUUAGCAGAGAUGCUGCGGAAGGGCUGGAUCCUAGGCCAGGGCGCACGAAGCGUUUCGGCAGCCCUGGAGGGCGCGGGCGCCGUGGUACCGUUAGGUGCGCGUUGAGAUAUACAGAUAUGAGUGCUUAUAACACUGGAAUCCCCAGUACAUGACAGACAUGGAGCUACUGGAGCGAGU
rnacentral:lncRNA from 1 species